rnacentral:rRNA from 1 species
UACGAAGGGGGCUAGCGUUGCUCGGAUUUACUGGGCGUAAAGCGCGUGUAGGCGGCUUUGCAAGUCGGAUGUGAAAUCCCACGGCUCAACCGUGGAAGUGCAUCCGAAACUGCAUCGCUCGAGUCUCGGAGAGGAAGGUGGAAUGCUUGGUGUAGAGGUGAAAUUCGUAGAUAUCAAGCAGAACACCUGCGGCGAAGGCGGCCUUCUGGACGAUGACUGACGCUGAGACGCGAAAGCGUGGGGAGCAAACAGG